UAUUUGUCUGUAUAAUAUUUUGUGAAUUGGUUUAGGACACAGUGGUGUCUUUUUUUAAGCAAGUAUCCAUUGAGAGGGGUCAGAGGAUUAGCUCAAGCUCCAACAUAUCUAGCUGCUACCUCAAUCGCUUUAUUUUUUUGUGUUUUUCCCCCCUGUGGCAUUUAUUCUGUGCACAUGAACACGUUUUCAGAAUUGCUAUGUGUAACUCAGACGGUUACUCUUGUGUGUUUUGCUGCUAGUUGUGCGAACGAGCCAGACAAACCAGCUGGGAGGAGGACGGAAGCACCCCUUCUCCAUCCGCGUUCAGUUGCUAAAUACGGAUCCACCCCGUAGUGUGGUGUUUUCCAUAGCUGUUCCUUGCUCCUGUUUCACAACAUAUCAAGGCUGCCAAGUAAAUGAAGAAUGAAUCACCGCACACUGGUCAACAGCCGACAGGGUCCUUCCACAACCACAUACUUAUGCCAGUAAAAGCCACAGCUUUUCUCCUCCAAUCCAAGAAGCCUGGACUGCAGUCACCAUCUCAACACACCAACCAAGAGAAAGGCGGAUGGCUCAAUUCAAUAUGGAAAAUUGCACAAUAAAAGUUCCAGGACAAGAAGGCUGCAUACUGUGAACGUCAACCUUCAGGGCACCGUCCUGCGCAGAAGACUUUCUACCCUAAGAGGGAUGGCUGACCGCAGACACUCACAACCAGCACAGACGCCUCCAACCUCAAACUAGGCCCUUCACAGCUGCUGCACUUACCCACCUUCCCAGAGUUUUUGUGUGGUAAUGACAACUGUAAAUAUAGUAUAAAGUAAUGUAUCUAGUGUCAUGUGUAAUACAUUGUUUAAAUUGUCCAUACAUUUCAAUGACAGUAAAUAUUGGGACACAAUUUGAC